rnacentral:rRNA from 1 species
GGGGAACCCNGACCAGCACGCCGCGGUGAGGGAAGAAGGUCUUCGGAUCGUAAACCUCUGUCAGGAGGGAAGAAAAGCACGCGAUCUAACAGGUUGUGUGUUUGACGGUACCUCCAGAGGAAGCACCGGCUAACUCCGUGCCAGCAGCCGCGGUA